GUUGUGAUAGCUCAGUGGUUAAGAUGUCCGACUACUGAUCGGAAGGUCAUGAGUUCAAUUCCCGGCACUGCC